UACUUCUUUCUUCUUCCACCUGCUGCUGCUUCUCUUUAGAUCCACAAAAACUGCUGCUGCUGCUCUCUCUCUCUCUCUCUGAAUUUUCUAUAAGCUAAGAUGUGUAAAAUUUUGUAAUAUUCAGAUUUUUAAGAGUGUUGGCAACAUGUAGCUUGUUCUGUUUGGUACUUGUAAUAUAUAAUGCUUGUCUUGAAUUUCUGUAGGCUGUGAGAAAUAAUUGUCCUUGAAAUCUUGCUCUGUGAUUUAGUAACCUUCUAGUAUAUUUGUGUGAUCACCUUGUGUACUAGUCCCUGUACUAGUUCUCUGUACUUAUCCUAUUUGUAGUCUCUGUGUGUGUUAGCUCUAGUACCUGUGAUAUGUAUGAGUGUUUGUGUUGUGAUAUAUUUCUGUCCCUAUCAUAUUAGCUUGUUUCUUUCCUUCUGUCAUUGCUUGUUAUAUAUGUCUAUGUUUUUUUGAA
rnacentral:lncRNA from 1 species